rnacentral:rRNA from 1 species
AAUGAACGUUGGCGGCGUGGAUUAGGCAUGCAAGUCGUGCGAGAAGCCUCCUUCGGGGGGUGGACAGCGGCGAAAGGGAGAGUAACGCGUGGGUCACCUGCCCCUGGGACUGGGAUAGCGGCGGGAAACUGCCGGUAAUACCGGAUAACGUCUCCGGACCAAAUGGUGAGAUUCCGCCUGGGGAUGGGCCCGCGUCCUAUUAGCUUGUUGGUGGGGUAAUGGCCUACCAAGGCGAAGAUGGGUACCGGGUGUGAGAGCAUGACCCGGCUCACUGGGACUGAGACACUGCCCAGACACCUACGGGUGGCUGCAGUCGAGGAUCUUCGGCAAUGGGCGCAAGCCUGACCGAGCGACGCCGCGUGCGGGAUGAAGGCCUUCGGGUUGUAAACCGCUGUCAGCGGGGAGCAAAUGCAUGGGGGUUCUCCCUCAUGCUUGAGCGAUCUGCAGAGGAAGUCCGGGCUAAGUUCGUG